CUGCGUCGCUCAGGCUGGGAGCUGUAGACCGGAGCUGUUCCUAUUCAGCCAUCUUGGCUCCUCCCCUCGAUACUUUUUCUAUGAGCUUGCACUCUCUUGCCUUUCUGCCUUGCACCAUGGGAGGACACAGCAAGAAGCUCUCACCGGAUGCUAGACCCUCAACCUUGGACUUCUCAGCCUCCAGAACCACGAGAAAUAAAUUUCUGUUUAUUGUAAAUUGCCCAGUCUCAAAUAUUAUGUGACAGCUGCACUAAACAGACUAAGAUGCUCCCUUAACAUAAACCACAGGGUUCCUAUGGAAAACAGGCAACAUGGAAUGUUUCAGGCAUUGUAAUCAUUGAAGGAAAGGAGAAACAAAAGGAGAGAUUGUGCUGAAGUGAACAGAGCACAGACUGUGACGGGAAUCUCACAAUCUUACCAACUUUGAGAUCAGAAUUCCGGCAUCAUAAGCUAUCAUAUGAGAAGCAAGAUUUCAGAACCUUUUUUAAACACAAGUGCUUGAGAUUGUUUGAACAAUGUGUGUCAAGACAGACUACUAACACAGAAACACCUCACUGAAAGAAACAACAAAAAUAACAACAAAGAGGUUUGAUGACUGGCUUACAGAGAAGAAUAAGGAAAUGUACCUCUAAGAAUCGUUUGAAAUGAGUCUUCAUAUCCUCCCAAAUAUUUUUCAAGAACGUUUGGCAUUACUUCAAAAAUUAACUUUAGGAAAGGAACUAUUAUCACAUUUUAAGAGGGGAAUUGCAGUUGCACUUAAACUAGAAACUUCCACUUGGUGAAUUGAAUUAUUAAGGAAUAAUGGCAGAAGAAAGAAAAUCAAACCAGGAAUAUUUUUCAGACACAAAUAAUACUGGCUCAGCUCCGAUUCAGUAGGCUCACAUCAUUUAAACUAACGAUUACCUUGACACCACCAGAAGAAAAAUAGGAAAGUAAGAAGUGCCUUAGAAGUAUGAUAUUAUCAUUUAUUGCAAAGGAUACAAUAGUUAAGGUUGAAGUUUUUUAAGAGAAUGAAUGAUGGAGACCCCCAACAGAAAGGGAAAUUUUGCCUCCAGAAUGCAACAUCAACUCUUCUCUCCAGCCUGCCCUCCUUCCAUACAAAGUUUGGACUUGCCAGCCUCCACAACAAUGUGAGCCCAAUUUUUAAAUCUCUCUUUUUCUGUUUCUCUGGAAAAUCUAAUACUAACUCUUACAAUAAGUAUGUCUUUACUACUAAAAAAAAAGUUUUCUUGUCAGGUCAUACCAUACAACUAAUUUUUCUUUUUAACUUACUUUUCAUGCUUAUUGGUGGAAUAUUGGUGACUCAGGGCACAAAAUUAUAUUAGCUUCACAACAAAAAAAAUUUCUUUUGAUUCAUAUCUUAUAAAGAUCAGAUAAAGGCAUGAACUUUUAUAUUUGAACCUGUAAUUGUAUAUUACAAGCUACCCCAUAUAAUCAUGUAAUAUUUUACAGCAUAUUUUUAUUCAUUAAUUUCAUAUUAUUUAGUUUUACUCCCCCAAAAUAGGUAUUUCUAUACCUAUCUAUUCAAUAGGUGAUGAAAGAAAACAUGAAUCUUGCCCAAAGCUUCAUAAAACAAUGUGUGGCAUAGUUAGGACUGCAAUUCAUCUAAAUAGCCUUCAAACCCUUGGUGUUUUCAUCACAUCACAGUAGCCUAAGUCAAAAGCAUACACUACAG
rnacentral:lncRNA from 1 species